rnacentral:lncRNA from 10 species
ACAAGAACCAACCUAAUAUGUAGUUCUUGCCUCUUAGAACCACAUGGAAGCCUUUCAAUAACACAGCCCUUUUAAUAACAGAGGACAUCCACAGUCCAACAUGGGUCUACUUGGACCCCAUCGAAGAGAGUGAGUUACUGAGUGAGUGAAAGAUACCAACAGAGUGAGCUCCCCUGUAAUCCACCCUUGGGGAGUACUCUAAGAACUGUGUUUACAGCGAAUCAUGGAACCAGCACUGACCCAGGGUCUCCCCCAUUAACACCCAGCCCUGCUGGCAAUGCUAAUGCAGAAGAUAUUGCUGACGAGCAGAAAUAGCUUUUGACCUAUCCACAUCUUUCUUGGAUCCAUCUCCAGGCCACAGGAUCAGGAAGAAUGGAAUGAAAGCUUCCACAUCAGGCUCACACAAGCCAUUACCCCCAGGAAGGCCUGGUUUCUAGGGGACACCUUCAGUAAGGACAGUUAGUCUCCAAUAAGAAGGCUCUCUCAACCUGUACUUGGGUUAGAAUUUCCUUCUGCCUCACCUCGGAACUUCAUGUCACACACCCCAUAGCUCUGAGAGCCUGAACAGAGCUGGAGGAAGCCAUCCCCCAUUCAAUAUGGCUGACAGGUCCAAGAAUUUCCAGAGCACUUGUCCUCUGGCAUGGCAGCUGCCCACUUCAAGAUGAUAGCUUGAAGGCUUCUCUGUCAUCCUAGGCCUUUGAAAGAUUGCUGUAAGUCGAGACCCCUUGGCAACUUGGGAUAGGCAUGUAAUAUGUCACUGUCUGUCUACACACCCAUGACCUGUGGGCAUGUAACAUGCAUGAUAAAUAAACCUUUGUUGUUUUAAGCCACUAAGAUUUGGCAGUUUGUGUUACUGCAACAUACUCCAGCCUAUCCCAAUUGAUUCCGCAAACAAGCUUUUGAGCCUGUAAGGAAGCGGGAGAUUUGACAUUGCAAGGAGCUUUUGCCAACCAUCACCUUUAAGGAAUUACGGAUACCCUAAGACUCUGGGUGUUUCCUGAGGACCGCUAUUUCUGGAGAACUGCAACAGGAAGAUCCUAAAGCCCUACUAAAGCCUUUUUGACUUUAAGGGUCAUCUCACAGUCUGAAGGGUAUGACCUUUGGGACCUGAAAAAUGUCACAACUCCCUGCAGAGAUGCUCAAUAGACAUCAAUGCAGACUGAAAAGCAAACUGGGGCAGAGAUAAUGCUGCCUUUCCAACUGUGCUCCCUCCUUUAACAUGGUUUGGGAUCAUGAACAUGCAUUCUGGAGCUAGACUGAUUAGGUUCAAAUCCCAGCUCCAUUAUUUACCAGCUGAAUGAUCUAUGGGCAAACUGCUUAGUCUCAGUUGUUUCCAUCAGUGAAGAGGAAAUACUACUACUACCUACCUCACGGGAUUGUUGUAAGGAUUAAACAAGUUGCUAAAUAAAGAGCUUGGACCAAUGCCUGGCACAUAGAAAGCACUGUGUAAGUAUCAGCUAUCAUUUCUUUUUGGUAAUAUUA